GCUGCUCGGAACCUUGCUCACCUCUCCGUGGUGAGCAGCAAGUAACAAUCUUAUGAUUGGCGAAGAUGUGAGA
rnacentral:ribozyme from 1 species